rnacentral:rRNA from 1 species
ACGGCUCAGUAACACGUGGCCAACUGCCCUUGGGACGGGAACACCCCCGGGAAACUGGGGUUAAUUCCCGAUAGGUGAAGAAGUCUGGAAUGAUUCUUCGCUCAAAAGACGUUUAUGUCAUGCUCAUAUUCGUCGCCCAGGGAUGGGGCCGCGACCGAUCAGGUAGUUGGUGAGGCAAUGGCUCACCAAGCCUUUUACCGGUGCGGGCCGUGAGAGCGGGAGCCCGGAGAUGGGCACUGAGACAAGGGCCCAGGCCCCACGGGGCGCAGCAGUCGCGAAAAUUUUGCAAUACACGAAAGUGUGACAGAGCUAUCCCGAGUGCCAUCCGCUGAGGAAGGCUUUUACCCAGUAUAAAUAGCUGGGAGAAUAAGGAGAGGGCAAGUCUGGUGUCAGCCGCCGCGGUAAUACCAGCUCUCCGAGUAGUGUGGACGUUUAUUGGGCCUAAAGCAUCCGUAGCUUGCUAGAUAAGUCCUCUGUUAAAUCCACCGAUUCAAUCGUUGGAUUGCGGGGGAUACUGUUUGGCUAGGGGACGGGAGAGGUCGACGGUAUUUCCGGGGUAGGGGUGAAAUCCUAUAAUCCCGGGAGGACCACCAGUGGCGAAGGCUGUCGACUAGAACGCGCCCGACGGUGAGGGAUGAAAGCUGGGGGAGCGAACCGGAUUAGAUACCCGGGUAGUCCCAGCUGUAAACGAUGCAGGCUAGGUGUUUGGGCGGCCACGAGCCGCCCUAGUGCCGCAGGGAAGCUGUUAAGCCUGCCGCCUGGGGAGUACGGCCGCAAGGCUGAAACUUAAAGGAAUUGGCGGGGGAG